GUAUCCUAUCGAUCGUAAGACUGAUCUAUCGGUGAAUAAUUUUUCUAAACGAAUUAAAAAAAUGUUGGAGGAGGAUGACAUGAAUUAUGCGAUCCAACUCUGUCGUUUCGUGUUAAAACCAAUCGGACUUUGGCCAAUGGUUUACAAACACGUAUCGAGUGCAGAAAAAAUCCUUUCCGCCGUAUUAGCACUCACGUGUUUCUCUACGGUUUGUUUCGUCUUACUACCAGCCGGUCUUUACACGCUUUUUUACGAGCAUGACGUAAAUGCCAAAUUAAAGCUUUUUGGACCAAUUGGUUUUUGUUUAACCUCAACCAUCAAGUAUUGUUAUCUUGGGUUAAAAGGCAAGGCCAUUGGACGUUGUAUCGCGCACGUUGAAAACGAUUGGAGAAUGGUGCGCGAUCGGAAUCAUCGAGCGAUCAUGAAGGAAUAUGCUACGCUCGGUCGUAAUCUCACUGUUCUCUGCGCCCUUUUUCUUUUCAGCGGUGGCAUGUCUUAUCAUACGGUCAUGACACUCUCCUCGAGCAAGAAGAUUAAUGAAACUCUCACAAUAAGACUACUUACCUAUCCAGGAUACGACAGAUACUUCGACGUACAGGCUAGUCCAACUUACGAGAUCGUCUUCUUCCUUCAUUGCGUGUGCGCCAUGGUGAUGUACAGCAUAACAACAGCUGCUUGUAGUUUGGCAGCUACUUUUGUUACUCAUGCUUGUGGCCAGGUACAAAUAGUCAUGACAAGGCUGAGUGAUCUCGUUGAAGGCAAGGAAAGCAAUAACAUCGAACUAAACGAUCGUCUGGUCAUUAUUGUCCGAGAUCACGUCAAAACCUUAAGAUUUUCUGUACAAGUCGAAAAAGUGCUGCGUGAAGUAUGCUUGUUGGAAUUGGUAGCAUCCACGUUGAUCAUAUGUUUGCUCGAGUAUUAUUGUAUGACGGAAUGGGAAAAUAAUGAUCCGAUCGCAACUUUGACAUACUUCAUCUUGUUGAUUUCUUUCACUUUUAAUAUAUUUAUAUUUUGCUAUAUCGGAGAGUUGCUAGUUGAUCAGGUUCGUUAUUCCAAAUUCCCUUAUCGUUUGUUACUAAUAAUUGAAUUUCAAAUGAUUUGCAUAAAAUUCUUUAUAUCGAACUAUGCUUAUAAAUUUUAUAACAGUGCAAGAAAGUCGGAGCUGCAUCAUACAACGUCGAAUGGUAUCGUUUACCAAAAAGUAUUAGCCUCGGUUUAAUUUUAUUGAUAGCGAUCUCAAAUUAUCCACCAAAGAUCACUGCUGGAAAAUUAUUUGAGUUAUCUCUUUUAACGUUUGGUAGUGUGCUUAAGACGUCUCUCAUUUAUCUUAACUUAAUACGGACGAUUACAGAUUAAAUUGCGUAAUACGAAACAGGUAAAUUUACUUUUUAGAAUAUAACUUUUACGUACAGACAUCGAGUUAAAUGAAUGUAACAGAUCAAAAUUGUCC